GAUGAACGCUGGCGGCGUGCCUAAUACAUGCAAGUCGAGCGAACAGAUGAGGAGCUUGCUCCUCUGACGUUAGCGGCGGACGGGUGAGUAACACGUGGAUAACCUACCUAUAAGACUGGGAUAACUACGGGAAACCGGAGCUAAUACCGGAUAAUAUAUUGAACCGCAUGGUUCAAUAGUGAAAGACGGUUUUGCUGUCACUUAUAGAUGGAUCCGCGCCGCAUUAGCUAGUUGGUAAGGUAACGGCUUACCAAGGCAACGAUGCGUAGCCGACCUGAGAGGGUGAUCGGCCACACUGGAACUGAGACACGGUCCAGACUCCUACGGGAGGCAGCAGUAGGAAUCUUCCGCAAUGGGCGAAAGCCUGACGGAGCAACGCCGCGUGAGUGAUGAAGGUCUUCGGAUCGUAAAACUCUGUUAUUAGGGAAGAACAAAUGUGUAAGUAACUAUGCACGUCUUGACGGUACCUAAUCAGAAAGCCACGGCUAACUACGUG
rnacentral:rRNA from 1 species